rnacentral:rRNA from 1 species
CGCUGGCGGCGUGCCUAAUACAUGCAAGUCGAACGCACUCUCGUUUAGAUUGAAGGAGCUUGCUCCUGAUUGAUAACAUUUGAGUGAGUGGCGGACGGGUGAGUAACACGUGGGUAACCUGCCCUAAAGUGGGGGAUAACAUUUGGAAACAGAUGCUAAUACCGCAUAAAACCUAACACCGCAUGGUGUAGGGUUGAAAGAUGGUUUCGGCUAUCACUUUAGGAUGGACCCGCGGUGCAUUAGUUAGUUGGUGAGGUAAAGGCUCACCAAGACCGUGAUGCAUAGCCGACCUGAGAGGGUAAUCGGCCACACUGGGACUGAGACACGGCCCCAGACUCCUACGGGAGGCAGCAGUAGGGAAUCUUCCACAAUGGACGAAAGUCUGAUGGAGCAACGCCGCGUGAGUGAAGAAGGUUUUCGGAUCGUAAAACUCUGUUGUUGGAGAAGAAUGUAUCUGAUAGUAACUGAUCAGGUAGUGACGGUAUCCAACCAGAAAGCCACGGCUAACUACGUG